AUGUAGUCCUAGAUGCACAAACACUUAAUUACUAAUUACUAGUGUUGACAAUGUCAGAUUUUUUUUCUUGGUAGUACUUCUUCUUCUUAUUGUUCUAUGUAGUUGGAUGUAGUUUGGGGAAUUUACUUAACAUGUAACUUUGAUUUCUCUUUCCAAUCAUUCCUCACGGAGAGUUUAUGCCAUGGACGUCAGGGGUGGAAUUCCAGAUGAAUUAUGGGGUCUUACCUUUCUCGAUCAUUUUUACUUGCUUCCUCUAACUGUAGUUUCAUCCUAUACUUUCGUGUUUUAUCUCCCAGCUACUAAUAUUUUAGUUACAAAUUAUAGGAAUUUGGCCCAAAUUUACUUGACGGGCAUAUUAUCCCUAUCCAUUGGCAAUCUGACUAGGAUUAAAUGGUUGUAAGUCUAAUCUAUUUCAGUUAUUUAUGCACAAUCGUGAUAGAUUGGUAUCGGCAUGUCUGGAAUAAUUUAGAUAUUUGGUGUAUGCAGAUUCUUUGGCACCAAUUAUUUGUCAGGGGAGAUUCCACAGGAACUUGGAUUAUUGACUAAGUUACAAUUAUUGUAUGUUCUUAUACUUAUAUGUGUUGGACCCCUGGUUUCAUGAUAUAUCAUGCAUCAAUUCUAUAUGAAAAGCAUCAAUCUUCAUCGUUUCUUCUUCAUUUGUUUGUCAUUCUCCUGUGAUGCAGAAGUUUUGGCACAAAUAAAUUCUUUGGGCCUCUUGCUUCAGAGCUUGGAGACUUAACAAAACUGACACAAAUUUCAGUUAUGAUGCAUUGAUUUACAUCUUACAAAACCACUACCACGUCAUUUUAAUUGUUAGAUUUUUCCAGUUUGCAUGAGAAAUUUGUUAUCUGUUUAUGAACAUGAUACGAAAUCUAUAUGGUGUUGUGUUGUUUUAAUUUAUACAUUAAAUGCAAGGCCCUGAAAAUUAUAUCAGUAGAGUAGGAGGUGGAGGUUGUUAACGUCUCCACGAUCUAAUGCAAUCUAUGUUAUGCUUGCUUUAUUUUCAUGCUAGCGAAGGAGUAUAGUUAAUUAAUCCCUUCUCUAAUUUUCUGUAUAAAGUAAUUAUUCAUUAUUUGAAAAGUAUGAUAAACUAUGUUAGGUUGUAAACAUUUGUCACAUAAAUUGCACAAAAAAUGCAAAAUACAACAAGGUCAAGACAUAUAACUCUCAUUUUACGCACAUUAGUAUCUGUUUUCCUUGUUCCUUUUUCAUUUCGUUUCUCUUUCCAUUCUACAUGCUUGAAGCUUUAAAAUUUUAAUUUGAACAUGCAACAUACAGAAAUAGAAAGUAAAGAAAAAUAGUACUCUCUCUGUUUCAUUUAUGUUGGCCCCUAUACCAAAAAUAGAGUUUUAUUACUUACUUCCUGUGCUAUUCUUAGUAUUAAAUAACUACAUAACUUUAGAAUUACAAAGAAUCAUUAAUAAGGUUAGUUUAGUAAAAUACACCUCUAAUUCCAUACAGAUUAUGUGGAAGGAAGGCACUUUCUAGGGAGGUGGCUUAUGUUGUUGAAAGCCUGGCUCAUUAAAAAGUAUUCCAGGUCAAUAGGGGCAAGUGAAAAACAAUGAUAUACCCAAUGUAUUCCUACAAAGUAGGGUCUAGAAGGAUAGAGUGUAUACAGUCCUUACCUCUACCUUAUAUAUUAGGUAGAGAGGUUGUUUUCGAUAGACCCUUGUCUCCAGAUAAAAACAGUCUAGAAAAAGACUUAAUUAAAGUAGAAGAGACAAUAGGUAGUUAAAAAAACACCAGAUAGUAGCAGAGUAAUACUACAAUUGAACUGCAUGAAACAACAUAACAUAACUUGAAAUAUUUAGCACACAUAUAGACAAGAAGAUGCCAAACAUUACAACAUAUACAAAUGCAUGAGAAUUUCCAUCAAAUAUAGGAAAUAUAAGUUAUUUUUGAGGUUUAUAAGUUAAUUUUUCUCUUGGAUAGGCCUUUCUUUGAUUGUAGAAAUUUCAUAUGUUCAUAUGAUUUUUGCAAAGUACGAAACUUUUUUCUUAUAAUGUAAUAUGUCACAUCUUUAUUGCUUAUAUUUCUUUAUUUUUAAUUAUUCUGUCAUUUCAGUAGAUUUUUUAUGAAAUAAAAAACUGUUUUGCUGCGUAGCUAUAUUAAUAGUGCUGGUGUUAGUGCACCAAUACCAUUGACGUUUGCAAAAUUGCAGAACAUGGAUACGGUGUAAGAGCUUUCUGUCGCAUGCUCCUUCUUUGGCUUUUCAAUUUUUACUUGUACAAAUUUAUGUAGUAAAUCUCACUAGAAACUUAACUAUUCACGCUUUCAUGUGGGCUUCAGAUAAUGCUUUUACAGGGAGGAUUCCAGAUUUCAUUAAUAGUUGGUCAAGUGUUACUGCACUGUUAGACUCAGCUAUUUGAACUAUGUCCAAUUUGUUAUUCUCUAAUUCUUUCAAGAAUAUUGUCUUACCUUUUUCCUAUAACAUUGGUAUAAUUCCUUUACUACAUUUAUUCUCUAGCAUAGUCUAUCUUAGAUUUAUCUAUUGUCAUUGGAGGUUGAAGGAAAUGCAUUUUUCUAUCGUCGCCAACUGGCUUACUAAGGUAAGCUCCGAUUAACCCACAAGCAGAUGCCAAACAAUACAAAAUAUACAAAUGCAUUAGAGUUUUCAUCAAAUAUAGGAAAAUAGAAGUUAUUUUAAGGCAACAACUGUCAGCUUUAGCAAGAAACAUAUUCACCAGAAAUAUACUCUCUCCGACCCAAUUCAUGUGGCAUUGAUUUAAGAAAGAAAAACUUUUGAAACUUGUGGUUUAAAGAGGUCAUAAAUGUUUGCAUGGCCAUAUGUCACAUUUCAUUAGGGGUAAAAUGGAAAGUGUAAGAGUAAAUUGUUUUUGAAUGUCGAAAAAGUGUCAUUCAUGUUGGACAAACUAAAAAAGAAAGUAUGUAACAUAAAUGAGGCCAGAGUGAGUAUAUGCCAAUUAGUAUUACCAACCAUUUUCUUUGUUACUAUUUCAAAAUUAUUCGUGCAAACUAUUAGUUUCAAACCCAUUUUAGUUGGACACUCUCUUGCUUUCCUAGACUUAGGAAUUGUCUUUGUCUUCAUCCUUUUUUUCCUUUGUGUGGAAGGUGGUCCAUUCCCUUGCAUCGAUGCUAGAUGAGACAUUAAUACCUAAUCUCCUCACUCUCCUUCCUUGCAUUUUCAGAUGUGUUUGUCAUUUAUAUAUUGCCGUGAGAUUAGCUGCAUAUAGAUGUAUUACAGCUAUGGCCAUUUCAAUGACAUUGGAUCUGAUGGGUUCAGUUAUUGAGAAUGUGGUGCCUAUGUUAGGUGACAUUACAUCUAUACAUUCUAAACAAGGAGUUGACAUGCUUGUCAGCUUGGUUGUCCAAGGAUAUGGUAUAGAGUUGGUUCCAUAUGCUCCCCUCUUAGUAGUUUCCCUUCUGAGGUGUAUGAGUGAUUCAGAUCAUUCUGUCAGACAGAGUGUGACACAUCGUUUUGCAACCCUCAUGCCUCUACUUCCAUUAGCAUAUGGUGCUUCUCCUCCUAUUGGUCUUAGUGAACACCUAUCAAGAAGUCAAGAAGAUGUUAAAUUUUUGGAGCAGCUAAUUGGCAACUCUCAUAUUGACAAUUACAAACUCUCAACUGAACUAAAGGUGACAUUGAGAAGUUUCAUGCCUCCUACGGUAAACCACUACUAGCUGCCAGGGAUUCCAAAUGUUUAGCCAAGGAUGUUGAAGCAAGAGUGCUUACUAUGGAAGCAUUGCACAAGCAGGAUCAAUGAGGAGGAUCAAAUUUAAAUGGUGAGCGCCACAACUCAACUGGAUCUAGAUUGAAGUGAAUGAUGAAAAUUUUUGAAAUAUUUUGAUACACGUUUAUAUACAUUUGGUUUUGUGUGGAACUUGGUACAAAAUUUUUUUAUGUUGUUUUCUAACUAGUAUGUAAAAGACAUGUUUUUUAAAUCAAAACUAUGCACUUUAAUUAUUUA